GCCCGGGUGGCUCAGUUGGUUGAGCGUCUGACUUCGGCUCAGGUCAUGAUCUCAUGGUUUGUGAGUUCGAGCCCUGCACCGGACU
rnacentral:tRNA from 1 species